GAAGACUGCCGAGGAACACACGCAUUCGAAUCAUUUAAGCCUUAAAAUAGUAAUACCCAUGGAAGAGCCACAAGACUUACCCGAACAGCCAGUGAAAAAAGCCAAGAUGCAAGAAUCCAGAGAACAAAGCUUAAGUCACGUGAGCAACACCGAGGUCAGCGAUCAGAAACCUGAAUCUUCAAGCCUUGCUCCAAACCUUCCCAUGUCAAGUGAGAGUA